rnacentral:rRNA from 1 species
CACGUAGGCGGAUCUUUAAGUCAGGGGUGAAAUCCCGGGGCUCAACCUCGGAACUGCCUUUGAUACUGGGGAUCUCGAGUCCGGGAGAGGUGAGUGGAAUUGCGAGUGUAGAGGUGAAAUUCGUAGAUAUUCGCAAGAACACCAGUGGCGAAGGCGGCUCACUGGCCCGGUACUGACGCCGAGGUGCGAAAGCGUGGGGAGCAAACAGGAUUAGAUACCCUGGUAGUCCACGCCGUAAACGAUGGAUGCUAGCCGUUAGACAGCUUGCUGUUUAGUGGCGCAGUUAACGCUUUAAGCAUCCCGCCUGGGGAGUACGGUCGCAAGAUUAAA